rnacentral:lncRNA from 1 species
CUUAUAGUCGGGGCAACGAGGAGAGGUGUGUCCUUCACGGAUGUGUCGCUUGAGGCUCCAUCUGGUUAAUUUGGAUUUUGAGCUUAUCCUGCUCUUCCAUUGUUUCCAUUAACGCCUGACGCAUCAACUUUUCUAUCUCCCACAACCUUUCCAAUGAAGAAACCUUGUUCUCCAAAUCCUGCACCUCCGUUGAUGCUUGAGCAGCUUCAACUUUAGUGUCUGAAUCACUAUCUGUCAAAUCCAACAUUUCUGGAUCUGAUGCUACGUUUUUCCACGAUAGCC